rnacentral:lncRNA from 13 species
AUGGUCACACAGCACCAGUGGCCCAGUGGAAACGACGUCCCCUGGGCAGUGCGGGCAGCCUGGCAGAGGGGUCAGGGUCACGACCCCUUUCCCGAGCUCUGCACAGGGGCAGCCUGGGAGCAGGUCACGGAGGAGAGGAGUCCCCUGCAGUCACGGUUCCCUCGAGGGCUCGGGGUCCCCUCAGUGCCUGGCAUCUCCCAGUUGGACCUGCGGUUCAGAAUAUCUCGGGGACCAGCUUCUGUGGCCCUCCUGCCAUCUGGCUGCUGCAUCAGAAGGAGCCCCGCAGAGGCAGUGCUGACAGGACCCCGGAGCUCACCUGCUGCCGGAGAAGCAAAUCUGGGAAGCACGGACAGUCCCUGCACAGGGUCCUCCUGGUCACACACGGAGUGCACAAUGCAGGUGCUAGUGGGCAGCACACGCAACCCCAUCGAGGCAGCAGCUUGGCUUUGGAGAGCUCUGCCCGCUGGGCUGCAGUGUCCACGUGCAGGUCAUGGUGAACCCAGCCAGGCCUGUGCAAAGGCCCGGACCGCGGUCUCCCUUGCCCUUCAGUCUUCACCUCUGUCCGUCCUGUGCAAAGGCCCGGACCGCGGUCUCCCUUGCCCUUCAGUCUUCACCUCUGUCCGUCCUGUGCAAAGGCCCGGACCGUGGUCUCCCUUGCCCUUCAGUCUUCACCUCUGUUCGUCCUGUGCAAAGGCCCGGACCGCGGUCUUCCUUGCUCUUCAUUCUUCACCUCUGUCCGUCCUGCACAUUCGACUUCAGUCUUCACCUCUGUCCGUCCUGCGCACAUUCGACUUCAGUCUUCACCUCUGUCCGUCCUGCGCACAUUCGACUUCAGUCUUCACCUCUGUCCGUCCUGCGCACAUUCGACUUCAGUCUUCACCUCUGUCCGUCCUGCGCACAUUCGACUUCAGUCUUCACCUCUGUCCGUCCUGCGCAUUCGACCUCAGUCUUCACCUCUGUCCGUCCUGCGCAUUCGACUUCAGUCUUCACCUCUGUCCGUCCUGCGCACAUUCGACUUCAGUCUUCACCUCUGUCCGUCCUGCGCACAUUCAAGCCUCCCGUGCUUCAACAAGCCUUUUCCUAUCACUUUUUAUUUGUAUUAAAGUGAUCUUUUAA